CCUGAAUCAUGUCCUUCAUGGGUUUCUAGUAGUGGAGCACAAAUUGCUAAAACAGAUCAUAUGAUGUUCCUACCUUGUGGGCUUGCAGCAGGUUCUUCUAUAACACUUAUUGGUACUCCUCGUUAUGCUCAUCAUGAGUAUGUACCACAGCUUGCCAAAAUAAGGGCUGCUGAUGCAUUAGUCUUGGUUUCCCAAUUUAUGAUUGAAUUACAAGGUUUAAAAUCUGUGGUUGGUGAGG
rnacentral:misc_RNA from 1 species